UUUUAGAAAAUAAAAAAUUUAUUGAAAUAUAAUAGGAACUAAUAUUUUUAAAAAUAACUAUAUUUGUUUUGUGCAUGGAGUAACUCUCUAUGUUGAUUCAACAAACGGUCCAAGCCAGCGACUAAUAUGGUGUUAAAAUUUUCAAAAUUGCAACCUCCAAUUCUCAUUUAUUUUUCUUACCGAUAUUUAUUGUUUUCGGUUCAAUCAAAUUAAAUCUUUCUUGCAAAAAAAUUUUCGGUUCACUGAACUACAAUAAUUUUUCCUUAAUAGAGUUAAACAAAAAAAAAGAGAAAUAUUGUUGUAUAUAUUUUGAGACUUAAUGAAAGAAACAAAAUGAAAUUUCUAUAAUCGUCACAUAUUAAAAUAUAUUGUAAAUCUCAACAAAUAUAAAUAAUAUUCACAUAUCUAUUUAUAAACUAUUAACUAAGAAUCUAGUUGUAUGAACUAUGAAGCACGGAUUUGAAGAAGAUGACAUAAAUUUUUAUAUUCACACUGUUAAUAUUUAUAAUUUAUUUUAAUAUUAAUUUAUACAAAACACAUAGAUAUAUAUUGUAAGUAUCAUGGAAAUAAGUUAAUCUCAAUUAGAUUUUGUGAGGUCAAAAUUUGACUUAUUUUUAAAAUAUUAAAUAUGAGAUUACUCUAUUACCUAUCACAAUUCUAUUUUAAGAUAUGGUCUUGUCUUUUUCGAAGUUUGUUUAAAAUCUUACUUUACUAUCUUUUUUUACGAAAGUCUAUACCAUUCAAAUGGUAAAUGAUACAGACUCUUGUGAAUAGAUCGAUAAGUUAAAUAUGCCAAUAAACUUAAGUUCUAUUUUAUAAUCUAACAUAACAUUUUAGAGGUUUGAAAGUCGAUUUUAAAAGUUUAAAAAACUUUUUUAAAUAUUUGUAAUCUGAUCUUUUUAACUAAAUAAAUUAUUAAAAUAUUUGAUCUGACCUAUUUAAAAAAAAUUGACCUGACGUGAGAUUGUUGUAGACUAAAAUAUAAACUCUUAUCAACCGACUCGUUCAAUUUAAAGAAUUCUUUAAUGUUCCUUGUUAUAUCAAUUAUAAAAUGUCCACAGUUGUGCAAGUUGCUCUUUUAGGUCCUAUUUUUGUAAGUGCUUCAAGGGGCCUAUAAGGUGUUUGAUAAAAUGUGUUUACCAUCAUACAUGUGUUGGAUGUCCAAAAGUUAUCAAAGAUGACUAAAUGUAUUUGCCAUCAUACAUGUAUAAAAGGGUUAUGUACUAAGAAUUGGUGUGAUGUUUAUCGUCACUUCCUUUAAUGAAGGUUUAUGCGUGUUCAAUAUUA
rnacentral:lncRNA from 1 species